rnacentral:rRNA from 1 species
ACCCGCUGAACUUAAGCAUAUCAAUAAGCGGAGGAAAAGAAACUAACAAGGAUUCCCCUAGUAACUGCGAGUGAAGCGGGAAAAGCUCAAAUUUAAAAUCUGGUAGUCUUUGGCUGCCCGAGUUGUAAUCUAGAGAAGUGUUACCCGUGCUGGACCGUGUACAAGUCUCCUGGAAUGGAGCGUCAUAGAGGGUGAGAAUCCCGUCUUUGACACGGACUCCCAGUGCUUUUGUGGUGCGCUCUCAACGAGUCGAGUUGUUUGGGAAUGCAGCUCAAAAUGGGUGGUGAAUUCCAUCUAAAGCUAAAUAUUGGCGAGAGACCGAUAGCGAACAAGUACCGUGAGGGAAAGAUGAAAAGAACUUUGGAAAGAGAGUUAAACAGUACGUGAAAUUGCUGAAAGGGAAACGCUUGAAGUCAGUCGCGUUGUCCGGAAAUCAACCUUGGUUCUCCUGGGUGUACUUUCUGGUUAACGGGCCAGCAUCAGUUUUGAUCGGUGGAAAAAGUUCAAGGGAAUGUGGCAUCUUCGGAUGUGUUAUAGCCCUCGAUCGUAUACACCGGUUGGGACUGAGGAAUUCAGCACGCCGCAAGGCCGGGUUUCGACCACGUUCGUGCUUAGGAUGCUGGCAUAAUGGCUUUAAUCGACCCGUCUUGAAACACGG